UCCCAGGUGGUCUAGUGGUUAGGAUUCGUGGCUCUCACCCACGCGGCCCGGGUUCGAUUCCUGGUCUGGGAA
rnacentral:tRNA from 1 species